AAAACCUAGCGAGCAGGAGGCGAGAGAAAAAGACCUGCCCCAAAAGAUGAAGGAGGGGAAAAAAAAAAAAACUAGCGAGCAGGAAGCGAGAGAAAAAGGCCCUGCGGGGAAAGAUCGAGGGGGGAAAAAAAACCCAAAACCUAGCGAGCAGGAGCGAGAGAAAAAGACCUGCCGAGAAAGAUGGGAGGGGGAAAAAAAAAAAACUAGCGAGCAGGAACGAGAGAAAAAGACCUGCGGGGAAAGAUCGAGGGGGGAAAAAAAACCCAAAACCUAGCGAGCAGGAGCGAGGGAAAAACCUGCGGAGAAAGAGCGAAGGGGAAAAAAUAAAUAAAUAGCGAAACGGGGCAAAACCUGCCGAGAAGGAGCGAGAGGAGAAAACCUAGCGAGAUGGAGCCAGGGGGAAAAAACCUGCCGAGAAGGAGCCAGGAGAAAAGGGCGGGCGAGCCAGACGGCUAAAUGGGGAAAGCGCGCGAGGAAGUGGUGGGGAUAAAAAGGACACAGAUUGAGAUAGAGCGGGAGAAAAAGCUAGGGGAUAGCGGUCAAAAUAGAAGAACGACGGGGAAAGAGCGAUGAUGAAAAUGAAGGAAAAAAUGUGCAAAAAAAACGAGGGAGAAAGAACAAGGGGGAAAAGACGAGGAAAAGAGCGCGGGCGCCGCCAUCCGCCGCUCGGCUCCUCGCCCCGGCUU
rnacentral:lncRNA from 1 species